CAGCUCCCCGGCACGGGCCCGCCGUCAGCACGUCACGUCACCGCCCGGGAGAGAGACCCAGGAAAAUGCGGAAGGGUAGACAGGCCCCCUCCUCCGCCCGAGCUUGGGGAGCCUGUGAAAUGUAAGACUGGUGUCAUCGUUUCAUAAAUCAUGAAUUUUCCACAUUCCUUAAUAGAGAGGAGCCCAACUGGGUCCUUGAGCCAGAAACGAUAGAAGGCCUUUCAAUCAUUUUCCCGGAGAAAGAUUAGUCAAAAAAGAAGCUGUUGAUUUUCACUCCACAUCAGAGACUGAUGGGAAUUCAAAUAAGAAGUAAUACAUUAUUGGCUUAUGAAAAUAUGUACACCUUCUUGAAUAAAGUUGUGGUCAUUCUUUUUUUUUUUUUUUUCGUAUCCCAAACAUUAAAAAAUAUUUAUCUUCCCC